AGGUGGUGGAGUUGAACUUGUUGUUCGAGCAAGUCGAGGGUCCGCACUCAUGUUGCUGGUUUGUUUGUCUGCUGUUGCGGGGUCUACUGAUCUGUUUCUUAUAUAGCAAAGUCCAAAAAGAACUGUCGAGAACUCAGAUGUAUAUUAUAUAUGAUUUUGUAGCACGAGAUUGCCGAUAAAUCAGGGAGGAUGAGUGGUCCGAUUACUGAUGAGAUGAACUCCCGAGGAAGCUUGCAGUCAGCAGCGUGAAUCAACAUAUUUCAACUACCUCACGGAAUGGGUAUGCACAACUUCGAUAGUGGGAAUUCAGAUUGAUAUGUAUAUUUCGCGUAUUUUAAGUGUAUCCUCAUAUGUGAGAAUAGGACAGC
rnacentral:sRNA from 1 species